rnacentral:rRNA from 1 species
GACGAACGCUGGCGGCGUGCUUAACACAUGCAAGUCGAACGGAAAGGCCCUGCUUUUGUGGGGUGCUCGAGUGGCGAACGGGUGAGUAACACGUGAGUAACCUGCCCUUGACUUUGGGAUAACUUCAGGAAACUGGGGCUAAUACCGGAUAGGAGCUCCUGCUGCAUGGUGGGGGUUGGAAAGUUUCGGCGGUUGGGGAUGUACUCGCGGCUUAUCAGCUUGUUUGUGGGGUAGUGGCUUACCAAGGCUUUGACGGGUAGCCGGCCUGUGAGGGUGACCGGCCACAUUGGGACUGAGAUACGGCCCAGACUCCUACGGGAGGCAGCAGGGGGGAAUAUUGCACAAUGGGCGGGAGCCUGAUACAGCAACGCCGCGUGCGGGAUGACGGCCUUCGGGUUGUAAACCGCUUUCGCCUGUGACGAAGCGUGAGUGACGGUAAUGGGUAAAGAAGCACCGGCUAACUACGUG